UAUUUUUCCUUAUAACUGUGAUUGAAGACAACAUUGUGAUUCAUCUGCAUCUCUACUCAUCGCCUUUUUAAUUGCUGAUCUCUUCUUAUUUUUGCCUCUAGAUUUUUUUCUUCUUUUGGUCAAAGCUGUAGAUUUUUUAGAAUUAUAAAUUCGUGACUUGAUGAGCAAUUUUUUGUUCUUCUUUUUGUCAUUCCAGUUGUAGCACCUUCCUUUGAUGCAGAUAUGAAUAAUUUUAACAGGAGCAAAACAAUGCUCCGUUCAAAGUGUGGAGUCUCAAGUAAUGAUAAUUGAAGAAUCAUGAAGAUACUUUCAAGUUUUCAACAACGUGUGGACUGAAUUCUUUACUUCAAAAGGUCCCUCCUUCAAAAAAAGAAGGCCGCUCCCUCUUCUUUAGAUUAAGGAUCAGACUGUUGCCAUCUAAUAUUUUGAUUUCAUGGAUUUAGCACCUCUAAUUUUGAACGAUGGCCAGUUUGAAGGAUGGGCCUGAAUUUCAUUUAGGCAUGCAAUUUGAUCUGCCGCAUAAUCUUAAUUUGAUGUAUAGGACGAAUUCUCAGCACAGUUUUUAUUCCUUCCUCU